UUUGGAGUUUAGGAUUAAAGGGUUUAAGAAUUGGUAUUAUACACAAACAUUUUAUAAAUAUAUAUUUUUAAAGUGUAUAAAAAUUGAGAUUUGGGGUUUAGGGAUUGGUGAUGAUAUAUAUGUUAUUGAUUUUUAACUAUAUUUUUUUAUAACUAUCAAUUGAUAAAUAUAAUAAUUAUGGCAACAACUUAUCUCUAGCAUAGACGUAGCUAUUUAGCUACAGAGAUCAACGGAAUCUAUUUC
rnacentral:lncRNA from 1 species